rnacentral:rRNA from 1 species
GACGAACGCUGGCGGCGUGCUUAACACAUGCAAGUCGAACGGAAAGGCCCUGCUUUUGUUGGGUGCUCGAGUGGCGAACGGGUGAGUAACACGUGAGUAACCUGCCCUUUACUUUGGGAUACCUUCAGGAAACUGGGGCUAAUACCUGAUAGGAGCUCCUGCUGCAUGGUGGGGGUUGGAAAGUUUAGGCGGUUGGGGAUGGACUCGCGGCUUAUCAGCUUGUUGGUGGGGGAGUGGCUUACCAAGGCUUUGACGGGUAGCCGGCCUGAGAGGGUGACCGGCCACAUUGGGACUGAGAUACGGGCCAGAGUCCUACGGGAGGCAGCAGUGGGGAAUAUUGCACAAUGGGCGGAAGCCUGAUGCAGAAACGCCGCGUGCGGGAUGACGGCCUGCGGGUUGUAAACAGCUUUCGCCUGUGACGAAGCAUGAGUGACGGUAAUGGGUAAAGAAGCACCGGCUAACUACGUG